rnacentral:lncRNA from 1 species
UAACAUGUUAACCAUUAAUUGUUCUUUCCGUGCAAAGGUCGAAGUAGAUGCUCCAGCACGUGCAAAGGCAAUGAUCACAGUCACCUGCCGCACUGUGCCACGGCACCCCAUGCGGCAUAUGGACGCAGCGUCCUUCGUGGCUUCGCCUUAGCCAUUCUCCCUUCAUUGCAGACUGGAGCAAGAGAUGGUGCAUGCAAACCUGUACAGCCUGUUUGCGUUAAUGCCCUUGUCCAGGGCAAGCUGUUUGAGCUGGGAAUGCACAGCGUGGAUUGCCGGGAUCAAACGGCUGCCGACAGCGCAACGCGCUGGCUGUGCUGCAGGAGCAGCAGGGCUGGAUCCUCUCGCCAAAUAACGCCAAAUAGCGCCAACGGUGUCAAGGCAACGGUGCCGGUCUCAAUCAGCCACGGAGUCCUUCUGCGGCAUUUACUAUAGGUCGGGAUUCUGUACGGAAAAGACGGAAGUAGCCAAUAUUUUUUUUUUUUAGUUUACCACGAGUUGUCAGUGUUGUUUUCUUCAGCGAUUCAGAAGCAGGAUUGCGAGAAAGAUAUUCUAGGCAAGAAGCAAAUUGAAUAAGAAUCGCUUUCAGGAUCUGUCAUGCUCAAGUCAGCAUAUGUUUAGCCUCCGUUGCUCUGGUUUACAAACAGGGAGCAAUACUGAGACAUUUAUGGCACCAGAAGACAUUUUUCCAUGGAUUGCAGCUCCAAGGGUCGGCGCUAGAACGGACAAGUGGUGAUAAACUGUAUUAGUAUGCCACGAGACAACCAUUUAAUCUAUAUUAGGCACAAGAAGACUAGAAUUAUUUUGAAAUGGCACAGGUUGUGAUUACAGCUUGUUAUCAUCUCACUUACUGUGUGCUGCAGGACUGUUGCCAGUUUAAGGCUUUAAUAGUUAGCUCUUACAUUCAGAUGUGAAAGGUUCAUUCAUCAGUUAGGGCUCAGUCGCAGGUACAGUAUGACUGCACAGUGAAUAUUCCCCAACACGCUGCUCAUGCUAUCUGAGUACAUGAAAAUCUGUUAAGUAGGCUAAAUAUGAAGAAUCAGAUGCGGCAAUUUCCUCCAAAAACCUGCACCAGACUACUAACAUCCCAGCUUUAGCUGUUACAGAAAGAGAAACAGUUUCUGGUCCAACUUUCCAAAGAGAAAAAGUUGCAGGGGGGUAAAGGGCAUGUAAGAUCUCACAUGCUGGUUAGCUCUCUUUUCUCAUUAGAGUUUGCAAAGAUGUUCAUCUUCUGAAGGGUAUCUGAAGGCUGCUUUUCAUAAAGGAAAUCUCUCCUGAGUUAUCCAACUAAUAGCAAAGAAGUAUUUUCUGAAAGGAUUUUUGUUCAGACCAUUUCACGGUGUGAUAAAAUGCUGAUUA